GGAGGGGCUGGGCCUGAGCCUGGAGGGAAAGUCUGAUUUUCAACGCUUAGGCAUGCCAAACGGUUUACUUUCAGAUGUUUUCUUCUUCCCUCUUACUGGCUGGUCCCUCCCUCCCUUCCCAGGUCACUUAAAAGACAUUCCCUCAAGAGCAAAGAGAAAAGACAUCCCAUCAAGGACGAAGAGCGGAGACAUCCCAUCAAGAGCAAAGGAGAAGUGAUGGAAGAGUUGAGUGUCAAACCCCAGCAACGUCAUCACAUUUAAUCCUUCUGAGGCCUGUGAGUGCGGGUCAUUGUUCCCAUUUACUGUCAAGAGGAUGGAGGCAAGGAGCAGAGGUGGCCUGUGAAUUGCUGGAGGGCAUGAGUGCUUUGCACCGGACAGCAAUGAUUUGUGCAGCAAGUUGGGAAGGUCCCCAGGGGACUGGCCAGGCACAGGGAAGGAAGCCAGUCCCUGCCCUGGUGGCUUCCUGA
rnacentral:lncRNA from 1 species